UGGGGAAUUUUGGACAAUGGGCGCAAGCCUGAUCCAGCCAUGCCGCGUGCGGGAAGAAGGCCUUCGGGUUGUAAACCGCUUUUGUCAGGGAAGAAAUCUUCUGAGUUAAUACCUCGGGAGGAUGACGGUACCUGAAGAAUAAGCACCGGCUAACUACGUGCCAGCAGCCGCGGUAAUACGUAGGGUGCAAGCGUUAAUCGGAAUUACUGGGCGUAAAGCGUGCGCAAGGCGGUUUUGUAAGACAGAGGUGAAAUCCCCGGGCUAACCUGGGAACUGCCUUUGUGACUGCAAGGCUUGAGUACGGCAGAGGGGGAUGGAAUUCCGCGUGUAGCAGUGAAAUGCGUAGAUAUGCGGAGGAACACCGAUGGGAA
rnacentral:rRNA from 1 species